rnacentral:misc_RNA from 1 species
GGGAGUUCAACAAAGUAGGUGAAAGUUUUUUUCUUUUUCCUCAUCAGUUUCUUAAAUAAUCAACAUGUCACACUUUAGCCUAAAUCUUAAUUCUGCCCUUCCAAAUAGCAGAAUUGAAUUACUUGAUGAUAUUUCCUAUGCUAAAAGUGCUCAGUUACACCGUUACUGUACUUGACUUGAGGGUAAGACUCUUUGGUCAUGAGCACAGGAUGUUAUUUUGGUCUUCUCAAGAAACAUAUGACACUCUUUCUUAGAAAUUUCAGACGUCUUAUAAAUACUACUUAAUUGAUAGGCGAAUAUCAUAGAAGGAAUGAAAUUUGACUUGAGUAAAAUUAUUUUUUAUAUCAAUUUGUUAUUUCUGUGCUUGAUAUGAUGGUGAUUUACUUGUCAUAGAUCACUAGUGGUCAUUUAUAGUUCUUCAUUCAUGGUAGGAUGAUAAAUAAACAUUUAUUGGCAGGUAUUUAACAUGAAAAUUUCAAUUCCUUAUUUGGCUUUCAUUACUCUCAGAUUUGAAUAUCUAUGAAGAUGAAAUUUGAAUGAACAAUAUUAUUAUCCUCAUCAUCAUCAUCA